UAGGGAAUCUUCCGCAAUGGACGAAAGUCUGACGGAGCAACGCCGCGUGAGUGAUGAAGGUUUUCGGAUCGUAAAACUCUGUUGUUAGGGAAGAACAAGUUGGGUAGUAACUGACCCAACCUUGACGGUACCUAACCAGAAAGCCACGGCUAACUACGUGCCAGCAGCCGCGGUAAUACGUAGGUGGCAAGCGUUGUCCGGAAUUAUUGGGCGUAAAGCGCUCGCAGGCGGUCUUUUAAGUCUGAUGUGAAAGCCCACGGCUUAACCGUGGGGGGUCAUUGGAAACUGGAGGACUUGAGUACAGAAGAGGAGAGUGGAAUUCCACGUGUAGCGGUGAAAUGCGUAGAGAUGUGGAGGAACACCAGUGGCGAAGGCGACUCUCUGGUCUGUAACUGACGCUGAGGAGCGAAAGCGUGGGUAGCGAACAGG
rnacentral:rRNA from 1 species